UAUAACCUACGGGGGGCAGCAGCGGGGAAUAUUGCACAAUGGGGGAAACCCUGAUGCAGCGAUGCCGCGUGGAGGAAGAAGGUUUUCGGAUUGUAAACUCCUUUUAUCAGGGACGAUAAUGACGGUACCUGAAGAAAAAGCCCCGGCUAACUACGUGCCAGCAGCCGCGGUAAUACGUAGGGAGCGAGCGUUGUCCGGAAUUACUGGGUGUAAAGGGAGCGUAGGCGGGACGGCAAGUCAGAUGUGAAACCUGAGGGCUCAACCUUCAGACUGCAUUUGAAACUGCUGUUCUUGAGUGAAGUAGG
rnacentral:rRNA from 1 species